rnacentral:rRNA from 2 species
UACAGAGGGUGCAAGCGUUAAUCGGAAUUACUGGGCGUAAAGCGCGCGUAGGUGGUUCGUUAAGUUGGAUGUGAAAUCCCCGGGCUCAACCUGGGAACUGCAUCCAAAACUGGCGAGCUAGAGUAUGGUAGAGGGUGGUGGAAUUUCCUGUGUAGCGGUGAAAUGCGUAGAUAUAGGAAGGAACACCAGUGGCGAAGGCGACCACCUGGACUGAUACUGACACUGAGGUGCGAAAGCGUGGGGAGCAAACAGG